CACGUAGGGGGCGAGCGUUGUCCGGAUUUAUUGGGCGUAAAGAGCUCGUAGGCGGUUCGGUAAGUCGGGUGUGAAAACUCAGGGCUCAACCCUGAGACGCCACCCGAUACUGCUGUGACUAGAGUCCGGUAGGGGAGCGUGGAAUUCCUGGUGUAGCGGUGGAAUGCGCAGAUAUCAGGAGGAACACCAGCGGCGAAGGCGGCGCUCUGGGCCGGAACUGACGCUGAGGAGCGAAAGCGUGGGGAGCAAACAGGAUUAGAAACCCCCGUAGUCC
rnacentral:rRNA from 1 species